GUGUGUCUCAAUAACCUGAGAGCUAUACCAGCGGAACACAAAGUCUUGGUGGGGCCACAUGUUCUGGACAGGUCCAAGAAUAGAGGUCAAACUCAAACUAAUAUGGACUGCUUCUUCCCAGAGGUAAAAAUAGAGUUGUGAAGGGUUGACAGACCUACCUAGAAAAAAUGGUUACAGAAGCAUCAAUGACAAUU